rnacentral:tRNA from 1 species
UAGGGUGUCGCCAAGUGGUAAGGCAGCGAGUUUUGGUCUCGCCACUCGGAGGUUCGAAUCCUUCCACCCUAG